GAGAACGAGUGUGCCGAUGCACUUCCACAGCUGGUUGGCGGAUUUCGAAACCCGGAUAAAAAUUCCUCAAUGACUCAUUGAUUCAAACUAAUCGCGCAUUAAGCCCCGCGAUUGGUCGCGCUCUUUCCUUCUUUCAUCAAAUGGAUAUGCUAACCCCGUGGCAUAACGGUGUAUAACCCAUGAAUUACGCAAUCACUCAUGCGUGUCUUUCAAAUCUCUCGAUCUGCAUAGUUCGAACGACUAAGCGUGCUGCUUUGUUUGAACGCGAUCGAAACUUCUCAUAGUAAAAA